AUGAAUGGAAAGAAGGAGAAAAUAGCUUCAGGUUUGUUCAACCCCUUUCACUGCCACUUGAAGGUUGCUCAAGAUCAAAUGGUGAAGGUUGGUUAUUCAAUUGUUCUUGUGCCUGAGCACGAAAGCGAUGCCACAUGGUUUUCCAGAGGAACUAUUGAAAGUCCACUUUUGUCAGGUCAUAAUAUGAAAGUUCAAGUAAAUACCAAUGCGUAUGAUAUUGUGUUAUGA